rnacentral:lncRNA from 1 species
GGGAAGAGGAAGAAAAAUAAUCUUGAUCUUUUUAUUAUUUGCCAAAAGAAGUAAAAAGAUAAAUCCAGGUAUUCUUUGCAGUCACUCUUUAUUUUUGAUCGAUGAAGUAAACUAGCUGGUUUGAAAGAUCUAUGGAACUAAAGGAAGGAAGCAAGAUUGCAGUUCCAGGUUCAGAAAUCAUGUAUUUACAUGCUUUUAUGCUUUGUGUGUCUUAAGGGUGAACCAAACUAUGAAUUCCCAGUGGAAAGCCAGCAGUUCAGCUAAAAAACGUGCACCUGCUUAAUCUAAGAUGAUGUACGGCACAGAGAGGUGGAAAUUGAAUGCACCACUCCAGCAAUAGUUUUCUACAAGGGCACAGCAUGAAAGAACAGAAAGACAUCCCAUAUGCUACAACAGGAUUCCAGCCUCAGUUUAAGGAGAUACACUUUCACUCCUGAGCAUUUACAUGGGGGUCUCAGAAAUUCCUUCAGAAGAUUAAUGGCCUCGACAAAGAAAAACUUGGCCUUAAGUAAUAAAGCAACUGUGUUAUUCCUGAAGUCCCAGAACAGUGGAUACUGUGCCUUCCCUUGCAUCCUCCUCCUUCUGGCAUGAGCAACUUGUUUUUUUGCUGGGACUGAAGUUUCCUUGUCUCCUGGUCUCUGAGCAUCCUUUGGCAUGUGGGAGGUAACUCUGGUUGUUACACACACACAGACAGAGCAACACAGCUUCAUAUGCAUAAGAAGUGAUGUAAUUUGCUCAGAGUUGGCAGAGCUCUAAAGGGUACAGAGACUGCCUCCCUCCUAUGUUAUUCCAUCGCCUCAUCAUCUUCCUAGCCUGCUCUUACACUUGGAAACUUAAACCAUUGCUGCUGCUGCUGCCUCUUUGGGGCUUUGUUCUGGAAUGGUAGGCACGGUGAGAGCAGCUGCAAUGAGGUAGAGGGGAUGCUGUGUGAGAGAACAAAUACUGUCUGGAUCCUAAAUGGGGGUGGGGGUAGGGUGUGGUGGUGUGCUCUUGAAUAUGGGCUUCUGUGGCACUGUGUUUCUUACCUGGUAUGCUGCAAACGCGGGUGUGAUAGCUGCGCUUUCUGCAACCUGUUAAAGUUAUCAGCGUAACAACAGUGGUGAAAGCAUGGUAAAACAAAUUUGAUGUGCAUGUAAAAGAUUAAGGCACUUAUCCAGGUAGCCCGUGCAACUUAUCUUCAUGCCUGUUGUUACCUGUACCAGUGGAGUCUGGGAGGGUACAGUUGUCUACGUUGUGACCACACUGGAAAGUAAGCUGUAGCCACGUGCUUUCAGUUCCCAUCUCAAGCAAUUUCUGUUCUGUAGCUGUUUUGGUUGCUGCUGACAGCAUUUUAAAGCAGUAACACUGAAAUUAAGUAAGGUUGUGACUGGAAAUGGUCAAGAAAAGGAGCGUUUCCUUUCCUCCCAGUCUGACAAACCUGUAAGCAGCAGUGCAUGGGAACUCUCUAUCAGGAUACGGG